rnacentral:rRNA from 1 species
UACAUGCAAGUCGGACGGGAUCCAUCGGAGAGCUUGCUCGAAGAUGGUGAGAGUGGCGCACGGGUGCGUAACGCGUGAGCAACCUACCUCUAUCAGGGGGAUAGCCUCUCGAAAGAGAGAUUAACACCGCAUAACAUCAACAGUUCGCAUGUUCGGUUGAUUAAAUAUUUAUAGGAUAGAGAUGGGCUCGCGUGACAUUAGCUAGUUGGUAGGGUAACGGCCUACCAAGGCGACGAUGUCUAGGGGCUCUGAGAGGAGAAUCCCCCACACUGGUACUGAGACACGGACCAGACUCCUACGGGAGGCAGCAGUAAGGAAUAUUGGUCAAUGGGCGGAAGCCUGAACCAGCCAUGCCGCGUGCAGGAUGACUGCCCUAUGGGUUGUAAACUGCUUUUGUCCAGGAAUAAACCUAAAUACGUGUAUUUAGCUGAAUGUACUGGAAGAAUAAGGAUCGGCUAACUCCGUGCCAGCAGCCGCGGUAAUACGGAGGAUCCGAGCGUUAUCCGGAUUUAUUGGGUUUAAAGGGUGCGUAGGCGGCCUAUUAAGUCAGGGGUGAAAUACGGUGGCUCAACCAUCGCAGUGCCUUUGAUACUGAUGGGCUUGAAUCCAUUUGAAGUGGGCGGAAUAAGACAAGUAGCGGUGAAAUGCAUAGAUAUGUCUUAGAACUCCGAUUGCGAAGGCAGCUCACUAAGCUGGUAUUGACGCUGAUGCACGAAAGCGUGGGGAUCGAACAGGAUUAGAUACCCUGGUAGUCCACGCCCUAAACGAUGAUAACUCGAUGUUGGCGAUAGACAGCCAGCGUCCCAGCGAAAGCGUUAAGUUAUCCACCUGA